UACGUAGGUGGCAAGCGUUGUCCGGAUUUACUGGGCGUAAAGAGCGCGCAGGCGGUCGUGCAAGUCGCGUGUGAAAGCCCCCGGCUCAACUGGGGAGGGUCAUUCGAUACUGAUCGACUCGAAGGCAGGAGAGGGUAGUGGAAUUCCCGGUGUAGUGGUGAAAUGCGUAGAUAUCGGGAGGAACACCAGUGGCGAAGGCGACUACCUGGCCUGUUCUUGGCGCUGAGGCGCGAAAGCUAGGGGAGCAAACGGG
rnacentral:rRNA from 1 species